UACGAAGGGGGCUAGCGUUGUUCGGAAUUACUGGGCGUAAAGCGCACGUAGGCGGAUCGGUCAGUUAGGGGUGAAAUCCCAGAGCUCAACUCUGGAACUGCCUUUAAUACUGCCGAUCUGGAGUCCGGAAGAGGUGAGUGGAAUUCCGAGUGUAGAGGUGAAAUUCGUAGAUAUUCGGAGGAACACCAGUGGCGAAGGCGGCUCGCUGGGCCAUUCCUGACGCUGAGACGCGAAAGCUAGGGGAGCGAACAGG
rnacentral:rRNA from 1 species